rnacentral:rRNA from 1 species
GACGAACGCUGGCGGCGUGCUUAACACAUGCAAGUCGAACGGAAAGGCCCUGCUUGCAGGGUACUCGAGUGGCGAAAGGGUGAGAAACACGUGGGUGUUCUGACCUGCUCUUCGGGAUAAGCCUGGGUAACUGGGUCUAAUACCGGGUAGGAGCCAUUUUGCGUGUGGUGGUUGGAACGUUUUUUUCGGUGUAGGGUGAGGGCGCGGCCUAUCAGCUUGUUGGUGGGGUAAUGGCCUACCAAGGCGGCGCCGGGUAGCCGGCCUGAGAGGGUGGACGGCCACAUUGGGACUGGGAUACGGCCCAGACUCCUACGGGAGGCAGCAGUGGGGAAGAUUGCACAAUGGGCGUAAGCCUGAUGCAGCGACGCCGCGGGGGGGAUGACGGCCUUCGGGUUGUAAACGCCUUUCGCUAGGGACGAAGCUGUUUGUGACGGUACCUAGAGAAGAAGCACCGGCUAACUACGUG